AUUGAACGCUGGCGGCAGGCCUAACACAUGCAAGUCGAACGAGUGGCGGACGGGUGAGUAAUGUCUGGGAAACUGCCUGAUGGAGGGGGAUCACUACUGGAAACUGUAGCUAAUACCGCAUUCCAUCGGAUGUGCCCAGAUGGGAUUAGCUUGUUGGUGGGGUAACGGCGCACCAAGGCGACGAUCCCUAGCUGGUCUGAGAGGAUUAACACGGCAACUGUGACUGAGAAACGGUCCAGACUCCUACGGGAGGCAGAAGUGGGGAAUAUUGCACAAGGGGCGCAAGCCUGAGUCAGCCAUGCCGCGUGUAUGAAUAAGGCCGUCGGAUUGUAAAGUACUUUCAGCGGGGAGGCGUUACCAUCAGAAGAAGCACCGGCUAACUCCGUGCCAGCAGCCGCGGUAAUAC
rnacentral:rRNA from 1 species